CAAACCGACACAGGUGGUCAGGUAGAGAAUACCAAGGCGCUUGAGAGAACUCGGGUGAAGGAACUAGGCAAAAUGGUGCCGUAACUUCGGGAGAAGGCACGCUGAUAUGUAGGUGAAGUCCCUCGCGGAUGGAGCUGAAAUCAGUCGAAGAUACCAGCUGGCUGCAACUGUUUAUUAAAAACACAGCACUGUGCAAACACGAAAGUGGACGUAUACGGUGUGACGCCUGCCCGGUGCCGGAAGGUUAAUUGAUGGGGUCAGCGCAAGCGAAGCUCUUGAUCGAAGCCCCGGUAAACGGCGGCCGUAACUAUAACGGUCCUAAGGUAGCGAAAUUCCUUGUCGGGUAAGUUCCGACCUGCACGAAUGGCGUAAUGAUGGCCAGGCUGUCUCCACCCGAGACUCAGUGAAAUUGAACUCGCUGUGAAGAUGCAGUGUACCCGCGGCAAGACGGAAAGACCCCGUGAACCUUUACUAUAGCUUGACACUGAACAUUGAGCCUUGAUGUGUAGGAUAGGUGGGAGGCUUUGAAGUGUGGACGCCAGUCUGCAUGGAGUCGACCUUGAAAUACCACCCUUUAAUGUUUGAUGUUCUAACGUGGACCCGUGAUCCGGGUUGCGGACAGUGUCUGGUGGGUAGUUUGACUGGGGCGGUCUCCUCCUAAAGAGUAACGGAGGAGCACGAAGGUUGGCUAAUCCUGGUCGGACAUCAGGAGGUUAGUGCAAUGGCAUAAGCCAGCUUGACUGCGAGCGUGACGGCGCGAGCAGGUGCGAAAGCAGGUCAUAGUGAUCCGGUGGUUCUGAAUGGAAGGGCCAUCGCUCAACGGAUAAAAGGUACUCCGGGGAUAACAGGCUGAUACCGCCCAAGAGUUCAUAUCGACGGCGGUGUUUGGCACCUCGAUGUCGGCUCAUCACAUCCUGGGGCUGAAGUAGGUCCCAAGGGUAUGGCUGUUCGCCAUUUAAAGUGGUACGCGAGCUGGGUUUAGAACGUCGUGAGACAGUUCGGUCCCUAUCUGCCGUGGGCGAUGGAGAACUGAGGGGGGCUGCUCCUAGUACGAGAGGACCGGAGUGGACGCAUCACUGGUGUUCGGGUUGUCAUGCCAAUGGCACUGCCCGGUAGCUAAAUGCGGAAGAGAUAAGUGCUGAAAGCAUCUAAGCACGAAACUUGCCCCGAGAUGAGUUCUCCCUGACCCUUUAAGGGUCCUGAAGGAACGUUGAAGACGACGACGUUGAUAGGCCGGGUGUGUAAGCGCAGCGAUGCGUUGAGCUAACCGGUACUAAUGAACCGUGAGGCUUAACCUU
rnacentral:rRNA from 1 species